rnacentral:rRNA from 1 species
UACGAAGGGGGCUAGCGUUGCUCGGAAUCACUGGGCGUAAAGCGCACGUAGGCGGAUUGUUAAGUCAGGGGUGAAAUCCUGGAGCUCAACUCCAGAACUGCCUUUGAUACUGGCGAUCUCGAGUCCGGGAGAGGUGAGUGGAACUGCGAGUGUAGAGGUGAAAUUCGUAGAUAUCAGGAGGAACACCUAUGGCGAAGGCAGCUCUCUGGUACGUGACUGACGCUGAGACGCGAAAGCGUGGGUAGCAAACAGG